rnacentral:lncRNA from 1 species
CUUUGAAGGAUGGGAGCCCUGCCUCACCAAACAUCUUGUUGGUGACUUGCUCGGCGGCGACGCCCUUAGCUGUCGUGAGCUCAUUGGGGACAUUCUUGAUGGCAUAUGCGACGGGAUGAUCGACAUGGUGUGGUCCACCUCGAUGGCAUAGGAGACGAUGAUGAGGGACAUGCCAUCGGCAUGUUGGUGGUAGGGAGGAGUAGCUCAUGCUCCAGUAGCAAUUACAUCGACAUGCACACAAGCUAUUCGAGGAAAUGUUGUAGAGAGCAAAUGGUUUGAGAGGAGGGUUGAUUUUGAUGAGUGGGCCCCACACCCAACUUAACGGUCAAUACAAACGGAGUUGACAUUUUGUGCCAUGUUCGUGCUGACAUGUGGGCCUGACUUAUCAUAUGCGCAGUCAGAACUAAGCAACUGUGUCAUCACUGUAUUUUUGUGAAAAAUUAGUACAAUAUCGGCGGUAUACGGAACAAAGUCGAAAAACGCUAACCCAAAUGUGGUGGUUUUAUGCUAUUUAUUCGAUUAGAUAGACACGCCUAAAGCUGAGGAUUCAUAUUUUCAUGCCAUAUCUUGGCCAUAUGUAUAACAACAUGUUCAACACUUGGUACUUGUAGUGCUUGACAAAGCGUAGUCCAUAGUGGCUGCCUUAUCAAGAUCAGACUAGAUCUCAGUAAAUAAAUAUCUCACGAGUUUGGUUGGUACCUUGAUGAUUGACAAUGGACUACCAAACAUGAGGAUGACACCCUAUAGAGCAGAAUUCAUAAGGUACCAUGACUUUCCGUUGGCAUAAUCUCCACCCUAGAGGACCAAGGCACAACUCAUGGUAGCUUUGACGUGGACAUCUAGCAGCUGCAUUGAGAUGCGUUCUUCCGUAUGUCAUUGACGUGAGCCAUCUCUUAGUGGUGUGGUUUAGUUGGGGUGUGUGUGUCUCUACCCGAUAGUUAGAACCAUGGUGCUCGGGGCUACUUUACAGUCUUCUGUACAACAACAACAACAACAACAACAACAACAAUAAAUCCUUUAGUCCCAAACAAGUUGGGGUAGGCUAGAGGUGAAACCCAUAAGGUCUCGCGACCAACUCAUGGUUCUGGCACAUGGAUAGCAAGCUUCCACGCACCCUUAUCCAUGGCUAGUUCUCUGGUGAUGCUUCAAUCCUUUAGAUCUCUCUUUACGGACUCUUUCCAUGUCAAGUUCGGUCUAUCCCGAUCUCUCUUGACAUUAUCAGCAUGCUUUAGCCGUCCGCUAUGCGCUGGGGCUUCUGGAGGCCUGCGCUGAAUAUGCCCAAACCACCUCGACGAUGUUGGACAAGCUUCUCUUCAAUUGGCGCACCCAACUCUAUCUCGUAUAUAAUCAUUUCGGAUUCGAUCCUUUCUUAUGUGGCCACACAUCCAUCUCCACAUACGCAUCUCCGCCACACCUAGCUGUUGCACAUGUCGCCUUUUAAUCGACCAACACUCAACAACAUACAACAUUGCGGGUCGAACCACCGUCCUAUAGAACUUGCCUUUUAGCUUUUGUGACACCCUCUUGUCACAGAGAAUGCCAGAAACUUGGCGCCACUUCAUCAAUCUGGCUUUAAUUCGAUGGUUCACAUCUUCAACGAUAUCCCCAUCCUUCUGCAACAUUGACCCCAAAUAACGGAAGUUGUCCUUCUGAGGUACCACCUUCCCAUCAAGGCUACAAUCCCCUUCCUCCUCGUGUUUAGUAGUACUGAAAGCGCACCUCAUGUACUCGGUCUUCGUCCUACUAAGUCUAAAACCUUUGGAUUCCAAGGUUUGCCUCCAUAACUCCAACUUCCUGUUGACCCCCGUCCGACUAUCAUCGACUAGCACCACAUCGUCCGCAAAGAGCAUAUACCAUGGGAUAUCUCCUUGUAUAUCCCUUGUGACCUCAUCCAUCACUAAGGCAAAAAGAUAAGGGCUCAAAGCUGACCCCUGAUUCAGUCCUAUCUUAAUCGGGAAGUGGUCAGUGUCGCCAUCACUUGUUCGAACACUUGUCACAACAUUAUCGUACAUGUCCUUGAUGAGGGUAAUGUACUUUGCUGGGACUUUGUGUUUCUACAAGGCCCACCACAUAACAUUUCGCAAUAUCUUAUCAUAGGCCUUCUCCAAGUCAAUGAACACCAUAUGUAAGUCCUUCUUUUGCUCCCUUUAUCUCUCCAUAAGUUGUCGUACCAAGAAAAUGGCUUCCAUGGUCGACCUCCCAGGCAUGAAACCAAACUGAUUUUUGGUCACGCUUGUCAUUCUUCUUAAGCGGUGCUCAAUGACUCUCUCCCAUAGCUUCAUUGUAUGGCUCAUCAAUUUAAUUCCACGGUAAUUAGUACAACUCUGAACAUCCCCUGUUCUUGAAGAUUGGUACUAAUACACUACACUCUUCUGUAAAAGAAUGUAAAAAAUGUGCAUUUGAAAGAAAUGUACCUUAACUGAUAGUUUGCUUAUGGCUUGUCUCAUUUUGUGAUUAUCCAUUUCAUACGUUCUACCUCACAUAUUUCAACUUUUUGGUUUGGACAAAGGCCUAUUUUGUUUUGUAUUAUGAGACUAGAUGUUGCUAAAUCAUCUCAAUUUUACUUUCAGAUCACGGAUAUGUGUAUUAGGAGCGGUCACAUGGAGUGUCAGGUGGAGUAUAUAGACUAUCCAGAUGAAAGUAAGGGAUGUUUUUUUUUGCCGAGAAACCAAGAAUUCAAUAAUAUUGCUCCCUCCGAUCCAUAUUACUUGUCGACCAGGUGAAUGUAUUUAGACGUAUUUCAGUGCUAAAUAUAUUCGUCUGAGAGACAAAUAGUAUGGAUCGGAGAGAGUGGUUUGCUUUUUGAAAUUUGUUUAUUGUGCUCUAGUUCUGUUCGAGUUUUGUCUAUUCAGAUAAUUCUUUUAACUCUUUGGCCUAAUGUUUUGUGGGGAAAUUAUGCUGACUAUUGUAGUCAAGGCUAUCUUGAGCUGACGGUGAACUUCACAAUUUUUUUUUGUAGCUUAGCUCAUUUUCCACUACCUACAUUUCUUGUAGCUUACUCCCAAAUUUGUAGCUUAGCUCGCUUUCCACUACCUACAUUUCUUGUAGCUUACUGAGGCAACCCGAGGUUGUGGAGGAGCUCCACCUUGCUGCUACAAAUUGUACAACACAAGUGUUGAAGGCAAUAGGUGUUUAAUCCAAAACUCAUAGGGCAUAAGAUCUAGUCCAAGAUCUUAGAUAAGAAAACCAAGUUUUAUUAUAGGUGGUGUACACAGUCUGCUUACAAACUAGAGGUGAGGGCCUCUAUUUAUAGGCUUUUAGAACCUUUAUAUCUCAACUUCUAUAUAUAGCUAGAACACUCUAGAAAACAUUAGUUAAUAUGCAAUAUUCCACUCAUAGCUAGAAGGUUCUAAAAAAUAGUAGAUAAAGCUAAGAAACAAAAAAUAAAUAGUAGGUUGCAGUAGAAGUAUCUAGAAGUAGUCAAAUGGAUUUGACUUCUGAUUUUAUUUUUAUUUUCCUUCUCUAUUGUUCCUCAUCAUUCUCCCCUGGUUGUUUGGAACUCGACCUUGAGUUAUCUUCAUAGAGCGCUUUUUCUGGGUGGUAGAGAGUUAAGUCAACAACAUUGGAAGUGUUGGAUAUAUCCAUCUCGAUUAGAAGAUCUAUCACAUAAGUAUUAUCAUUUAUCUUCCUUAUAAUAAAGAAGGGCCCAUACCUUCACUUCCUAAGCUUCCUUUAACACCUCCAUGUGGAUCUAUGCUGGGAGUUGUUGUAGGAGAACUCUAUAAGAGAUAAAGCCAAAAUCUCAUUGUCUUUUUUUUCUCCACAAGUGCAACUGAUUAGAUUACCCAAAAUUUGUUCACCUCUUUCGUUUGUCCAUCUCUUUGUGGAUGGGCAGUGCUACAAAAUUUUAAUUCAGUGUUGAAUCGGUUCCACAAAGUGAGCCAAAAUGUAGCAAGAAACUUGCUAUCAUGGCCUCAGAAGAUGUACCUUUGAACGCCAUGAAGUCUGAUCACUUCUCAAAAGAAUUGGCUUGCCACAUGAUGAGCAUUCAUUGUCUUAUGACAUGGAAUGAGAUGAGCCAUUUUAGAGAAUAUGUCCACGACCACAAAUACAACAUCACUCCCUCGUCUUGUUCUUGGCAAACCUAAGAUGAAUCCAUAGAGAUCUCCCUCCAUGGAGCAACAUGAACAAGCAAAAGCAUGUAUAAUAUUGUGUUAUGGACUUAGCCUUUGUAGGUUUGACCUAUGGGGCACCGCUGAACAAACUUAUCCAACAUUUCUCUUUAGCUAUGGCCAAAAGUAACGAGCUUCCAGGUUAGCGACAUUCUUGUCCCGUCCAACCUGGCCACUAAGAUUACCUGAAUGGAGCUCUCUAAUAUGCUUGUCACUUAGAGAACCUCGUGGGAUGCACAAACAAUCUUUCUUGAAGAGUGAGCCAUCUUGCACCAAAUAGUGUGUUGGGUAUAUGCAACUUGUAUUACCCGAGGGCCAUAUACAGGUGGAAAUAUGCAGGAAACUCCUCAUACAACGGGGAAAACAUAUAGACUAGAAUAUAACUCUUAACACCCCCUUCAAACUCAUGGUGGAUAAACAACACUGACUUUGGAGAGAUAGAGGCCAUGCAGCGCACACAUACUGAAACCUGAUCUUGCAUAGACGACAGACUUUGAAGGCACAUACUAAAGAAGAAUCACCUGAUCUUGCACAACAGCGCACACAUAGAAAUCAUCAAUACCAAUAUGCUUGGUGAGCUCAUGCUUCAUAAGGUCGCGUGCAAUGCUAUGUCACCUGUACUGUCAGACAAUAGCAAAGUAGGUGUAGCGACAGAAACCCCAAAGUCCUGAAGUAACCAUCGUAACCAAGUCACCUCCUCUGUCAAAAGAGCCAUAGCUCGCAACUUAGCCUCUGCACUCGAGCGGAAAACUGCAGUCUGCUUCUUCGUCUUCCAGGCAAUGAGAGAACCACCAAGAAAAACACCGUAAGCAGAAAGUGAACAACGAUCCAAGGGAUCACUAACCCAUGUAGCAUUCAAAUAGGCCUGAAGCUGUAAGAAACCAGAGCGAGGAAAGAACAGGCGGUGAGAGAUCGUGCUCCGAAGAUAUCGAAGAACACGAAGGAGGUGACUGUAGUGAACCGAAUUGGGAGUAGAGACAAAAUGACUCAGAAUAUGUACCGGAUAGGAGAUAUUCGGACGAGUGACAACUUGAUAGACAAGACUCCCAACAAGAUGACGAUAACGUGUUGGAUUAGGCAAGGAGUCACCAUCAAUAUCAUAGAGGUGAACCAUGGGAGUCUCAACAAUGCACUCAUCAGUAAGAGCAGCACGAGCAAGAAGAUCCCGGAUAUACUUUUCCUGGGAAAUAAAGAAGCCAUCAAAGGUAGAAGAAACUUAGAUCCAAGAAAGUAGCAAGAGGUCCAAGAUCGAACAUAAGAAAUUGCUCACUAAGACGGGCCUUCACAAAGGUAAUAUACUUGGGGUCGUCUCCAGUGAUGAUCAUCUCAUCAACAUAGAGAAGAAGAAGAGUCCGACCACGAGCUGAAAGGUGGACAAACAACGCUGGAUCAUGAGCAUUCGCUGAAAAACUAGCGACAAUCACCAGAAAGGCAAAACGCUAUAAUCAGGCGCGAAGGGCUUGCUUAAGGCUAUAAGAGAGCGACGAAGACGACAGACGACAAACCAUGCAAUCAAGAACAGAAUACCCAUGUGGUGGUUGCAUGUAUACCUCACGCAGCUCACUAUUGAGGAAGGCAUUAUUAACAUCAAGUUGAGAUACAGACCUGUGGCAUACAGAGGCUACGACUAAAGUUUACGAAUAGUGGUCAUAUGUGCCACAGGAGCAAAAGUCUCAUCAUAAUCACGACCAUACUUCUGCUGAAAGCCGCGAGCCACAAGACGAGCUUUGUAACACUCAAGAGAACCGUUCGAGCAAGUCUUAACCUUAUAGACCCACUUACAAUUGAUGGGAUAGACAUGGGGAGGAAGAGAAACAAGAUCCCAUGUACCGUUGCGCUAAAGAGCAGCAAGCUCCUCCGUCAUCGCAAACUGCCAUUCGGGAUGAAUAACAACUUCACGAUAAGAAGUCGGCUAACGAACAACAGCGUCGACGGUUGGAAAACCAAGGUGAUCAACAGGCGGAAGCGGACAUGGACGCUAGCCAUAAGUAGGCUGAGACGAGAAGGACGACACAUAACACAUCCACAUUAUGCGGACGACAAGUAUAAUACUUGGGAAAAGAUGGAAGAAUACGAGUAGGAAUCGCUGAUGUAGACGAAGAAGUCACCGUGGAUGAAGGUGCAGAAUCAGGUGAGGAAACCAUGGGAGAUGGUGACGACGAAUCGACAACAAGUGGAGAAGCAGGGGUAACAGGACGGAUAGACAAGGGCUCAACAGGAUUGAUAGGUGUGCAAGAAAAGUAAGGAAAGAAAUAUCAUCCACUGAAAAGGUCGAGGAAGAUGGACGCGGGUAAAAGGGUCGAGACUCAUCAAAAGUCGCAUCCUGAGAAAUACGCAUCCGACGAUCGAUAGGAUCCCAACAACGAUAGCCCUUAUGCUCAUCACUAUAGCCUAGGAAGACACACUCAACGGACUGGGCAGUCAGUUUGGUGCAUUCACGAGGGGCAAGAAGAACAAUAGCAAACACAACCAAGCAAACGAAGCGCCGAAUAAUCGGGAGAAUGAUCAAAGAGACGCUCGAAAGGAAGACCACCCUGUAGGGCAGCGGAUGGCAGAAGGUUGAUGGGAUAGGUGGAGGUGGAGACAACCUCAGCCCAAAAUUGAGGCGGAAGAGAGGCAACAAUCAUCAACGCACGGGCUGUCUCAAGAAGGUGACGAUGCUUUCGCUCAGCCACACCAUUCUGAGCAUUGGCACCAGGACAAGAUAACCGAGGAAGAGUCCCCUGCUCAGCAAGAACACCACGCAACACCUUGGAAAUGUACUCGUCAGCGGAGUCAGCACGAAACACACGAAUAGGCGAAGAGAACUAAGUGUGAAUCAUGGCAGCAAAACGCUUAUAUAUUGACAGAACCUCACUACGAGAAGUCAUAAAAUAAAGCCAAGUGUGACAAGAGAAAUCAUCUAUGAAAAUAAUAUGGUUGUAAAUGAGAGUCAAUGUCUCACCCAUUAAUCUGAGAGUCACGUUGUGCGAUAAUCCUGAACAGAACAAGAGUCAACGCCAAGGAUGACGCGACAACCAUAAUUAGUUAGUUGACCAGCAGAAAACAAAUUCUUAGUAAGUCGAGGAACAUGAGCAACAUCAGGAACGAAAUAAGGAGUGUUAAGAUUGCCUCGACUAGCAACAGGAAGAGGAGUAUCAUUAGUAGUGAGUACAUGAACAGGAAAAUCCAGCGAUCUAAGAGAGGACAAAGUGGAAGAAUGAGAAGACAUAUGAAAAGAAACUCCGGAGUUCAGAACCCAUGGGGAUGUACCUGACUGUGCAGAGGGUGGUUGCUCAGUGUGGGAAGCAUAAGUCACAGAACCUGAAGUACCCGUUGAAGAAUCUGAAGCAGCAAGCAGACUCUUAAGUCUCAGAAUAUCCUGCUCAGUCAAGACAGUAGCUGAAGAUGUCAAAGUAGAAGUAUAAGUCCCGGAAGAUGAUGUCCGCACCUUAUGCAUGUGACACUUCUUUUGGAAACACUGAGGCUCAACAUGACCAUCUUGGUUGCAGUAAUCGCAAUGAGGACGAGAGCGGCCUUGGCCGCCAGUAGGAGUGGGCAAGAGCGGCGGAGCACUAGAGCGGGAAUGAGUCGGUGUAGCAGAUGGCAUAGCGGGAGCUCAAGCAGCGAGCACAGAGGGAACCUCAAGUAAACAAGCACCACAUAAGCGAGUGUCCUCGGUACGAAUUCUCAGAAAGUGCCUCCAUGAGAGAAAUACGGCCACAAGCAAACAAUUGAGCGCGCCGGGGCUCAAACUCCUUAUGGAGCCGAGACAAGAACUCGUACGACCUGGCAACAUUGGCAAGUACUACAACCAGCAGCGCGAAGAGAAUCAAGCUGACGCCUAAUAGCAGAACUCUAUGCGUAGAAAUCAUCAACGGUGGAGUCACCCUGUUGAAGAGCAUGCUCCUGGCGGACAACAGACAAGUAUAAGCCAUCAUCAGAGGGCUGAUAGAGCUGACGAAGACGAGUCCACAUCUCUUGGCGGACAACAGACAAGUAUAAGGCAUCAUCAAAAUAAACCACAACAAAGUGGGAUUAGAAGGGUCGAAGGACAUGAUUCAUCAAGUGCAUAAAGUUACUUGGUGCAUUUGAUAGUCCAAAUGGCAUGACUAGUCAUUCAAACAAGCCUUUCCUUUGUGUUUAAGGUUGUUUUCCAUUCAUCCUUGGGUCUGAUACGAAUUUGAUAAUGCCUGCUUCUUAAAUCUUGCUUUGUGAACAUGGAAUAGGUAAUCUGUAGCUCACACUGAUUUUGUUGGUGGCUCAACUGUCCGCACAUGCGCUAAGAUCCAUCUCUCCUUGGCAUGAGCAGGGCUGGUACACCACAUGGGCUAAUACUUCCUCGAAUGUGCCCCAUCUGCAACAAUUCCUCUGCUUUCUCUUUCAAUAUAUCAUGCUCUUUUGGGCCAGUUCGGUAGUGUGGAAGAUUAGGAAGACUUACUCCUAGAAUUAAGUCAAUUCUAUGUUGAAUUCCUCUCAUCAGUGGCAGGCUUUGUCGGAGUUGCAACUAUCAGGUGCUCUUCUCCUUUUUAUAGUAAGUGUAGCAAACAAAUUUGCCGUCUUUGAAUUCUUUUAUAAACUCAUUAGAGGUGUGGGAGAUAGUUAACAUAUUUCUCCCCUCCUCCUUAGAGGUAUUAUCAUCAAUUUUGUUUGGUAGAGUAAUGAUAUUCUCUUGUUCCGAAUAAAAGAAUAAGAAUUUUUUCUUCCCUUUAUCUGUAGUAUCCACAUCAAAUUGCCAAGGUCUCCCAAGAAAAAAAUGGCCGGCCUCCAUAUCAAUCACAUCACACAACACGUUUGAGCGAUAAUUCUUGUACAAAGAAAGCGACAUGUUGCACCGUAUGGUGAUCCUCAUAUUCACUCAUUUCUUGAUCUACCAAAUAGUGUAGGGAUUUGGAUGAUCAUGAGUUUCAAGCCUUAAAUGUUCACCAAAACCAAAUUAUGAGAGAUAAGAUUCUCGUAGCUGCAACUAUCGGUGGCUAAUGUGCGUACCUUUUCAUCACCAUGUGUUUGCUCUCAAAUAUUUCUUUCGUUGUGUGUCGCACGUUGUGGUGUGGAGCAUAGGAGACACUGAAUCACACAUACCACCUCUUCACCUUUUUUUUGACAAACCUCUUUUCCCUCUACAUCUUCAUAUUCAUAUUCUUCCUCAUCGUCUUCACCAUCAUGGAGAGUUGUUUUAGCAAAUUUCCUCAAUGUGCACCCGCUGUAUAUGUGUCAAUGUUCACAACAUUUAUAGCAUUUUGGGCCUUGUAAGUGCCUUACCGUUACCUCUAGUUUGCUUCGAGAUGCGUCGGUCGCUUUGCCUUUGAUGGGACGCUCUUUUCUUCCACUCUAAUAGUGUAACUCUUCCACGAGCCUUCAUUACGAGGAUAUGGGGCCUUACUUGUCUUGUCCUCACAGACCUCUCGGCUUUUAAGGCUAUAGCUUGUGCUUAUCAACGGACAAGAUUUGCUGCAUUUCGAUCUUGAAUAGCAUCAUUGAGAUCAUUGAUGUACCUUGCAACUUGUUGAUCUUUGGUCUUGACAAGGUUGCACCUUACUUGUAGCAUUAGAAACUCUUCCGUGUAAUCUGAAACAAUUUGAUUUCCUUGAGCAUUAUUCUGAAAUUAGAUAAAUAGGAUCUGGUCAUAAUCAGCACGCAAACCCCCCCUUUUCAAAACUCUUCAUUUGCCACCAAGUUCUCACACGAGGUUCUCCUGUAAGCCUGCAUUCUUCUUGAAGGCGAUGCCACCAUGCAUCGGCUCUUGAUUUCAGCUUGUAUGCGACCGAAGGAACUCUAUGAUCUUUCUGAAUAUCGAUGACCUCAAAGAAAAUAUCCACUUCAUAUAACCAAUGAAGGCACCCUUCAAUAUCAACCUUCCAUUAAAAGUUGGGAUCUCAGCUUUCGCCUUGUAUGAAUACCUUGCAUAUGUAGGGUUGGGUAUUCUUUGAUAUGCAUAGAGAUCGGGUUCUUCAAGGACAUCAUCAUCUUCUUCACCUUCAAAAGCUUCAACACAAGUUGGCCUUCUUAAAGUACGUUGAAUUGCACAUUCUUGUGGUAGUCUUGCACCAAGAAUACCUCUCCUUCAUCAUUGAACAUGUUCUUCCUGUUUCGAUAAAUCUUCUUCAUUGGUAGCAGGGGAACACCUUUUCUUAUCAUCUCGACCAGCUGAUCGAAUCUCCGGUUAGGAACUUCAUGCGAUGCAUUGAUUUGUUGUUCUACAACAUCUAUUCUAUUCUUCAAUUACUUCAUUCCUUGCUGUACCACCCGAAGCAGCACAAGGUUGUGGAGUAAGAACUCCACCUUGUUGGUACGAAGUGUACAACCUAAGUGUUGAAAGCACUACUUCAACGUGAUAUCGCUCUAGAGGCGGAAAUAGGCCAAUCUACCCUCCAUUGGACCAUUCAACUUAGCAAGUUUUUUUUGCCGUUUUUAAAUUCCAACAACUGUUGUACACUGACAGUGUGAAGUUGAAAAUAUAUCAGAUUUUUUUUGUGACUUUGAGUAUUGGACUUUAGGUUAGAAGAGUGAAGUAUUGCAGCUGUGCCAAAAGACCUAGAAUAACACAUAAUUUAUCUGAGAUCAUCAACUCUAGUUUCCCAUAUGUCUAAAUUAUUGAUUUUAUGUAUUGACAGGAAGGAAAUGGAACAGACUCUACAAAGUUCCUCCAAAAUGUCCUAAUCAGAAAGCAAGUCCGAAUAGGGAGAUCAUGCUACGACCUCCUUUUCCUCAAUGGUGUUGGGAGAAUGAUAUUUCUAAGCUUGGGCUGCAAAUGGAUGUUGUAGCAGUUGUAAGCAAUCCUUGGAAAGUAGGUGACUUGAUUGACUGGUGGUACACUGAUUGUUUCUGGACUGGGAAAAUUAUUGAGUUGUUGGACGAUGACAAAGUUAAGGUAUAAAUUUAUUAUGGUGAACGCAAAUGGCACUUGCUUGCCCCUUCCGUGAAAUCAAAUAGCUAUCCACCGUUAUUUGAACUCAUCUUAAUUGUUUGUUUAAAAAGUUAGCAAAAUUUUCAUGUUCAGAAAAUCACAUUAGGGUUGGAGUAUUAAUGUAUAUUCUUGUGUAUUUGCAUAUAAUGAUUUAUUAAUUUAUUAUGCUUUUUCGAGCAGAUGCAAUUUAUUAUUCUUUUUUGAUGAGAUACAAUUUAUUUUGCUUUUUUGACUGGACUCAGGUUUUUGUGCUUGCUAUAUCUGCAUAUAGUUAUUUAGUGAACAUGUUGCAUGCAUGCUGAUUUUAAGUUGUGCUUGCUAUAUUUGCACAAAAAUUAUACUAAAUCUUAAUGUGUUGAACCCAUGCUUGCUAUAUUUGGACAAUUUUUUUAUUAAAUGUGAAUGUGUUGAACUGGUGAUGGCGGUAAUAUGAAACGAAGGACUACAAUACAACUUGUAACUUAUCGAACAUGUAAUGAUCCUUCAUGGUAAGUCAUCAAAAUUUCUUUAAAAAAUACAUUCAUAACACUAGGAGAAGAACCACAAAUGUAUAUAUCUGCCUGCCAUGUUGUGUGCUAUAGAUGAAAAAUUGGGACUCAUCUCAGCCAAAGUACGAGGGGUAUGGCAUCCAAAAGAAGGCAAUGCUUUCUAUUCUAGCAAAAGGAUUUGAACAUCUCUGCACACAUGGUUUUGUUGUUGUGUGUAAUGUUUUCUUGUUUGGCUUUUAUUUGUAAGGAUAACAAACUUAUUUCGCUUUUCGUUGCGCUUGUGCAUAUUUUACAAUGCUUGCAUUUAUUGCUUCAUUUGGUGUUUACAUUUAAUGUAAGUUGUAUUGUACGUUUUCUACUUGCUCUACAGAUAAUUUGUCCUGAAAUACCAUUAGGUGAAGGUGGAUGCUGGGUUGCCGAUCCCAACGACCUGAGGCCAGCACUAGAUUGGUCCCUCGAAAAAGGUUGGAGCACCCCUCUUUCACAGGUAACUGCGCCAUCAUCCUUCUUAAUAGUGCUAUAAACCGUUAUUCGAAUACCAACGAACACAUUUUUCAAUGAUGGUAAAGAUCAUGUGCAAUAUGCAACUAACAUAAAUCUACAUCAUAUGUUAAAGUUCAUAUGCAACAGACAUAAAUCUAGAUCAUAGUUUCAAUAUCAAAUACCACAGUGAGCUGAAUGAGGCAUUGAUUGAUAAUUAGUUGACAUGCCCUUUUCGUUUUGGCAUAAAGAAGAAUGAUGCCAUUUUCCAGGGUGGGAGUAUUUUUAUGUUUAAUUGUUCUGUUUUCUCAGUCUUCUGUUUUGAAAAGAUGAUUUAAUACCUUCUUGUUUAUCAUUUGAUGAGAAAUUUACAUUUAAUAACUAUAAUCUGUCGUCAGGCUUUCAAAGUGGGAAUUCCUAACAGGUAUUCUCGUUUGUUGAAGUUGAAUAUGUGGGGGAUACUUGGUGUUUGGGAUAUUUAUUUCAAUUUUCGCAAGUCACAAAACGCAAAAAUAUGGGAUAUUGUUGUUCUGUUAAUGAUAAUGGAUUCGAGUGUGACUCCGGUUCGGGAAAAGAGUGAUCAGGCUUUCAAUCCCUUCUCAUAGAUGUGUCUUAACAUUCCAUUGACAUGCUUGAUCAUUUUAAUCCUAAUAGCUAGGAUCUACAAGUCCAUGUCAUGUAAGAUGAUUCUCUGUUAUGGAAAUGUGGAGAAGAGCACUACUCGAAAUUAUUAUUAGCAAGAGUAAAAUUACCGUUUUACUCCACAGUUGGUGGCUCUUCUUGAGUGCCGACUUGAUUAUUGUUUUCCCUUUUUUUUUACCUCCCCCUUAUUCCAUAGUUACGACAUCCAACAAAUAUAGUCUCUUAAGUGGGUUUGUGUCAUGUGGACUAAAGGCUUUGUUGUUGUUGUAAGUGGGUCAGUGUCAUGUGGCAUAUGACAUGAUAUGGAAUAAAACACAAAUGUGGAGAAAAGACAACAAAACUAAUAAUUCAGAGCAUUUUUUAUACUUUAAAGACAAGGGUGUAAAGCAUUGAAAAUCACUCUAAUAUAAAAAUUCUGCAUGCCCCCCUCAGGUUUUUGGUGUUUGAGCAUCGUAGCCCCUUGAGGUUUAGAUCAUGAUCAACCCCUUGAAGUGUUUUUGUUGUGUGGCAUUGCACACGUGGACUGUUGACGUGUAUCAGUUGCCAGUAUGGCCUAUCAUAUCACGUUGGACCUUGGUAUCAUUCAACUAAAUAUGUUCACUACUCUCUUUACCCUUAUCAUUCAAGUAAAUAUGUUCACUACUCUCUUUACCCUGAAGCCCCAAGGAAGGAAGAAAAUGUCACAUCCUUGGCGGCUUACCCUGUCAUGGUGGCAAAAUAACCCUCAACCAUUCAAUGGGGUUAUUUGAUGAUGGUGGACCUUAGUAGGACAAGAGUCACAACAAUAAGUCACAAAGGUACAACUUUUGAUGAUAGUUUGAACAUGAGGCCCACAUCUUCAGGACUAUGAGUGCUCCUCCCAUUCAUAUUACUAUGAUAUUGCAUGUUGGUCGACCGUGCGCCGACACAUGCCACCCACUCCCUUGUCGUACAUGUGCUAUUAUGUUUGGCAUUGGUUACAUUCCCCACAAUAUAUACGAGGUUCUUGGUGAGUAGUGUUGAAUUGUUGGAGGUACAUACCCUGUGGGCGUGGACACGCCAAGUCGACAAAAGAGUGCCUUGUGUCCCCGAGGCCUAGAGACGACCAUACAAAGGUGGGUACUUGGAGGAAAAGGGAUGGAAACGCUAACUCUAGGAUUCUAUUGUAGAGGAUUAGAUGGAGAAAAAGGUGGGUAACUAGAAGAUAUGUUCCUAAUUUUGUAGAGGAUUAAAUUGUUGAGCUUCAUGCACUAGCCAACGCAACAAAAAGUCUGAAUUGAUGAAAAAGGCUCUACAAUCCAAAUAUACACUCAACACCCCUCUCAUGUGUAACACGGGAAGUGAACACGUGAAUAGAGUCAGAGGUAUUGGUCAAGAAGCCUAGACAUGAUCAUAGUGGGGGGCAACAACAAUUUUUAGAUAAAUUAUAGAAGUCAGGACUUGAACUUAAGACCUUGGGCUCUGAUACCAUGUUAAGCUUCAUGCACUAGCCAACGCAAGCAAAACUCUAAACCAAUGAAAAGGUUAGGCAAUCCACAUAUGCACUUCAACAUCCCCUCUCACAUGUGACCCAGAAAGUCAACAUGUGAAUAGACUUAGAUGCAUGACUCAAGAGGUCUAUACGUGGACACAAAGGGGGCAGGAACAAGUUUUAAAUAAAUUGAGGAAGACAACACUGAACUCAAGACCUUUGGUCUGAUACCAUGUUAAGCUUUAUGCACUAGCCAACGCAACCAGAAGUCUGAAUUAAUGGAAAGGCCUAAGCAAGGGAAGUCGGCAAAAUGGAUCUGUAACUUCGGAAAAAGGAUUGGCUUUGAGGAUUGGGCCAGAGGAUCUCGAACCUAUCUGCUGUCGGUGGACUGCUCGAGCUGCUCACGCAGCGACAGUGGGUCGCCGCGUGCAGGCCAGGGGACGGAUCGGGAAUCGACUUAGAACUGGUACUGACAACGGUGAAUCGGACUGUUUAAUUAAAACAAAGCAUUGUGAUGGUCCUCACGGAUGCUGAUGCAAUCCACAUACGAUUCAACAUUUUCUCUCACAUGACGUGGGAAGUCAACACGUGAAUAGCCUUAGAAGUAUGGCUAAAGAGGCCUAUACGUGGAUAUAAAGGGGGUAGCAACAAUUUUAGAUAAAUUGCGAAAGCCAGGACUUGAACUCAAGACCUUAGGCUCUGAUUCCAUGUUAAGCUUCAUGUACUAACCAAUGCAACCAGAACUGAAAUAAUAUGUUAAGCUUCAUGCAUUAGCCAACGCAACCAAAAGUUCAAACUUAUGGAAAGGGCUAGGCAAUCCACAUAUACACUUGACUAUAAAAGGGCUUGACCUCUGCCAAAGACAUUUAGAUCACGAUUCUCGCAAAACUCGUAGCAGGACAUAGGGCCAUUAUACAUCUCAGGGGCUCCUACCCACUUUACUAUAUUUCAUGACUCUGACUCAGUCCUAAGACUUAAUAGUGAACUAAUCUUUGAUAAGGACUUAGGGUACAAGUGUGCGACUUCAACGUGGCUCUGCACCCUUAUGCACAGAGUGUAUGACUCCAAGUAAUACAACUCGUGCAAAAUACGUGACACAUACCCAACAAACUCCACCUUGUUGAACAUUUUUUUUAGAAAAACAGAGAGGCUCUCGCUAGCUUCAUAUAAAUGAAGAACAUGAACGAGAUCCAGGCUACAACUGAAAUAUUCCAACAAUACAAAAACUACAUCUAAAAGGAAGAACAAGUCUAAAGAGAGCUUCACAAAUGCUUACAUCUUAUGAAAUUCCGUUGAAGCCGUCGGUGACCCGAUGACCUCCAGAGGUGAUGUAGGGCUUGAUGCAACAUUCUGCUAGCAGAGGCCAUUCUUCACGCGCGGGAGAGCAUUAUCUUCAGCUUAUUCAUUGGACCCAUUAGCACCCGAGGAGGUGAUACCAGCUGAGACACAGUAAGUCACUCAGAAUCAGCCGAGGUUUCCUUAAGUUGGUUGAAAGGGAGUUGCAUAAUGCCUCCAAAGUCACCUUUGUUUGAUCCUUUGCUAGGUCCAUCAUUUGAAGCCCGACAACUUUCAAGACAUUCCACCCAACCUGCUUGAUAGAAGACCACAUGGUGUUAUUGAAAAUUUCUUAAACUUCUAAAUACACUACAUGGUAGUAGCACAAACAGCAAUAAGAUCAGAAUUCGUCUUAUUAGAAAUCCAAAACCUAGCUAUAGAUUCAUAGUCUCUCCCUCGAGGAACGCAAAGUGUUCAGUGUUCACUAAUUACUGGCCAUAUAGCUUUAGCCAUUGUGCAGUCAAAGAAGAGAUGAUGAAUAUUUUCAUCUUCUGCAUAGGUAAGGCAGUCCAGGGGUUUGAUUAUGUGUCUCUUUCUAAGAUUGUCUCUAGUCAUAAGUUCAUUAUGAGAGAGCAACCAAAGGAAGAUGUGGAUUUUUGGAGGUACUACCAGUUUCCAAAUAGCAAGGAGAUACACACGUUGCACUCCUCUAAAGUUGGUAGCAUGGUAUAGACAACUAAUAUUUUAAUGAUCUUCGUUCUCCAGUUGGUAGACUAAAGAAUCGGUAUCAUCAUGAAAUGAAAUGCUGCUAGCAAUACCUAUUGGCUGGAACCAUUGCUCUAUCAUCCAGACAAUAAAAUUUCUCUUAAAGGUAAACUUAAGCUGAUUACUAUCUCAGGCCUCUACAAUAGUUUUAGAAGGCUCAUUGCAGACAAAAUAAAGUGGCCAAAAUUGAACAGCUAGAGGUGAAGUACCAAACCAAGUGUCUUCCUAAAACCUAAUUUUAGCACCCUUGCCUAUCUGGCAUCUAUACCCAAGAUUUUAUGACAAACAUGAUACCCUUCCAAAAUCUGUAGACAUUAAGAGGAACCAGUAAAAAUAUUUGGGUUGUCAGUUUUGUAGUUAUGGUCAAUAAUCAUCUUCCAAGGCUUAUCCUUCCCCAAGUUAUAUCUAUUAAUCCAUGAUCCUAACAAGCAAAUAUUAACCUCUUGCAAAUUUGGCACACCUAAACCACCAAAUUCUUUUAAAUGCAAAAUAGUCUGCAAUUAGCUAAGUGCAACUUUCUGUGGACCUCAAAAAUCAUUCCAGAGUGAGUUAGCCAUCUAAGAGUUAAUGAGUUCUAUGGCCCAUUUGGGGAAUUCGAAGAAGCUUCAAGCAAGUAAAUAGGAAUGCUAGACAGGCAAGCCUGGGUAAGGAAUAAUCUUCCUUUAUAAGAGAGGAGUUUCCCUCUCCACCCUGCCAUUCUCUUAAUAAUCUUAUCAAUCAAAGGUUGGAUAUUCUCUCUUCUAAGCUUAUCAUAUUGAAGGGGUAUCCCUAGGUACUUAAUAGGGAAUUGGCCUUUACUAAAUCCAAGAACAUCUUUGAAUGAUGUAACUCCUCAUCGUCCAUGUUAAUGGGAAUGAGCUCAUUUUUGUUGUAGUUAAUUUUUAUACCAGAGACUUGCUCAAAGCAGUUCAGGACCCAUUUUAGGUUUUGUGCUCUUUCCAAGUCAUUGUCAACAAAGCGGAUGGUGCCACUAGUAUGGAUGCAGAUGAUGCCUCCAGCCCAUAUAAAGGUACAUAGCCCUUGUACCAAGCUGUUAGCGACAACUUUUUGAAGCAUUCCAAUUAGAACAUCUACAAUCAAAUUAAAAAAAGGGGAAAGAGGAUCUCCUUGUCUCAAGCUUUUGCUCGUAGCAAUGAAUCCCCUUCUACUUCGUUGAGCUUGAGUCCCACAGAGCCACCACGAGUAAUCUGAUUGAUCCAUUUCAGCCACUUAUCCCCCAAACCCCUAAUUCUAUUCUAGGUUGGAAUUGUCAAAAGCUUAGCAUGAUCUAUCUUUAAAACUAACCCCUUGCUAUUAGAGUGAAUAGAGUGGAGCACUACAUGGGCACUGACCACACUCUCUAAAAUGUACCCCCUCUAAGGUAAAUUGAUUACUGUCAAGCAGUCUUUGCAAAAUGAUAGCUAAUCUGUUAGUUAUGUUUUUGUAAAGAUCUUAUAACUACAAUUGAGAAGGUUGAUAGGCCUAACGUUGUUCAUAGUAGUGGCAUCACUGUCCUUCGAAAUGAGGGUGAGCAUGCCAAAGUUCAGCCUCGACGGAUAUUCUACACCACCUUUACGUCUUGUACAUUGGACCUGAGAUUUCACCAUAAGUUCCUGUGAACACAUCCCCACCUGCUAUUCUCGUGCCUUCAUUUCUUCAUGACAAUCAUUGCUCUAGCGAAAUAAGUUUCUCUCCACUCUUAUCUGAAGCUCCCUUCUGGAGUAUUUGUUUGCCAUUACACUUUGGUCAUAAGUCACCAUAUCUCCAUAUCUGACAACACCUCUUCCUUGAUCUAAGUAUAUAUACUGGUAUCAUGAAUUCGACAUCCUCAAUUUUGUCUAAUUCUAUCUGAAACUUGUAUUCAUCGUUAGUCAGUUGAGCUCAAGUCAAAUUUGCUGUGUCCCGAACCUUUUCGGGAUGGUGCUUUCACAUACCUCAUAGCUAUAACAUUUCAUCUACUUCUGCCUUUGCCAUAAACUUUGACAUGUGUGCUGAAAACCAAACAAUAUAUGGCCAUGUUUUGUUCAUGCCUCUUAUAUUCCUCCCCAACACUUCCUUAGAUUCACCAUGCUCGACUCAGACACGCCAAUCUUGUUAGACCUACACACUUGUCCAGCCACAUGUCUGACUGCUCGUGCUUUGGCAUAUCACAGUGUCCAGUGCUUACUUCAUGCCUUGCCACUAUUAGAACGUCAAGCUCUGCUAUACUGGCUGAAGAUCCCCUAAUUAGUUUGCUACACCUCCCUGCUCCCACUACUGACAACCACUGAUCACGUCCAACUGACGUUGAGUUCCAUGCCUUUGGAGACCAUUGAGCUUCAACCCGGAUUCUAAUUCUCUGUUAGCUUGCCACACCUCCCUACAUCACAUGUUAUCGCAUUCACUGUUGGACACCAUCAGGAUCAUUCUCUUAUGUCACUGUUGCUGAUCUCACCACCAUCUUUUGUCCAAACCGACCUUGUUGAUGUAUUAGACAGUCCAGUAAGACCCAUUCAAACUUGUCCGACUACGACUAUACUCCUCAUCGCGCCAUGCCAGCACCAUACAUCACCGUGCAUAGCUCGACGCCCCUCAAAUGUAUGAUCCUUUAUGAGGCUCUUCAAGCUUCUCCAAGCCUUAUAUGCAUGUUGAUCCUCGCUGCAUGAGCUCCAAGCCCUAUCAGUAAACUUAAUAUGAAAGAUCUCCCAUGUGUGGACAUGGCCUGAUGGAUUCCUUGCACAAUUCUUUCUUGUCAGUAUUGGCCGGUACUUCUACACCUAGCAUCAAAGAUAAGAAGUAUCUCCCAUCUGCUCUUGGACACCAAGCAUGCUCAUACGUAUGUGACCCGUAGGCACUCGUGCCUUUUUUUCUAAGAAAUCGUGUUG